rnacentral:rRNA from 1 species
GACGAACGCUGGCGGCGUGCUUAACACAUGCAAGUCGAACGGAAAGGCCCUGCUUGCAGGGUACUCGAGUGGCGAACGGGUGAGUAACACGUGGGUGAUCUGCCCUGCACUUCGGGAUAAGCCUGGGAAACUGGGUCUAAUACCGGAUAGGAGCCAUUUUUAGUGUGAUGGUUGGAAAGUUUUUUCGGUGUAGGAUGAGCUCGCGGCCUAUCAGCUUGUUGGUGGGGUAAUGGCCUACCAAGGCGGCGACGGGUAGCCGGCCUGAGGGGGUGGACGGCCACAUUGGGACUGAGAGACGGCCCAGACUCCUACGGGAGGCAGCAGUGGGGAAUAUUGCACAAUGGGCGCAAGCCUGAUGCAGCGACGCCGCGUGGGGGAUGACGGCCUUCGGGUUGUAAACUCCUUUCGCUAGGGACGAAGCUUUUUGUGACGGUACCUAGAUAAGAAGCACCGGCUAACUACGUG